AGCAGUAGCCACGGGAAUACGGAGGGUGCAAGCGUUAAUCGGAAUUACUGGGCGUAAAGCGCACGCAGGCGGUCUGACAAGUCAGAUGUGAAAUCCCCGGGCUUAACCUGGGAACUGCAUUUGAAACUGUCAGGCUGGAGUCUUGUAGAGGGGGGUGGAAUUCCAGGUGUAGCGGUGAAAUGCGUAGAGAUCUGGAGGAAUACCGGUGGCGAAGGCGGCCCCCUGGACAAAGACUGACGCUCAGGUGCGAAAGCGUGGGGAGCAAACAGGAUUAGAUACCCGGUAGUCCCUGUCUCUUAUACA
rnacentral:rRNA from 1 species